rnacentral:tRNA from 1 species
UAGAAUUUAGUUAAAAAAUAACAUAAACUUGUCAUGUUUAAAUUGGUUUUCCAUUUCUAA